UACGUAGGGUGCGAGCGUUGUCCGGAAUUAUUGGGCGUAAAGAGCUCGUAGGCGGUGUGUCACGUCGGCCGUGAAAACCUGCAGCUUAACUGUGGGCGUGCGGUCGAUACGGGCAUCACUGGAGUUCGGCAGGGGAGACUGGAAUUCCUGGUGUAGCGGUGAAAUGCGCAGAUAUCAGGAGGAACACCGGUGGCGAAGGCGGGUCUCUGGGGCCGAUGACUGACGCUGGAGGAGCGAAAGCCGUGGGGAGCAAACAGG
rnacentral:rRNA from 1 species